GCCGGGCUCCCCCGCUCCGGCUCCCCCGCCUCCGGCAGCCCUGCUCGGCCAGCGUCCGCGGCGGGGCCGCACAGGUCCGGGCGCGAACAAGGGGACCCCGAAGCUCUGAGGCCCCGGGCACGGGAGCGCCGCCCCACACGCACACCCUCUCUCAGUCACAGGCUCACGGACACUCACUCACGCGUCGUCGGAACCACCCGGGAGGCGGUGGUUCGGCAACCUCUGGACGGACACCUUCCUGCCCAGGGAAAACCGCCUGAAGAGCCGGACGAGGACCCGACUCUGCCUGCCCACAGCCUCACUCCCCUCACCUGGCCCUGGCCCCUUGCCCCAGAAGAGAUGGAACGGGCGGCGGCGACGGCAGUCGUUUCCGACAGGGUCCCCCAGCGGCGGUAGCUGCUCCGACCCGCGGCCCUAAUCUACCGCCGCCGCCAUGUUGGAAGGUAUAUAAUCAGCCACCCCUCCGUCCGUUGUGCUUUAAUAAAGCCACCAUUUUGCACCAAAGACGUCUCAACAAUUCUUUCUUGGUCGUUGGCUCCGGACCUCACCUAUAUUCCAAAAUUUCAUCAAAAGGGUGCUUUUGAAAAGCUCUCUCUAAAGAGGUGAUAUUUUAAGUUGGGACCUGAAAGAAUAAAAAGCUAAAUGUUAAGUGGAGGAAAAGAAUCCAGGCAUAAAGCUUGAUGUUUCCCAGGAACUGAAAAGUAAAGCUGAUGAGGUGGCGAGCAAGGGAAGAGGAGCUGAGGUCAAACAAGCCAAGAAAGCAAAAUUGUAGAUUCUGACGUUGGAGUAAAUAGUUAAACUUAAAAAAAAAAAA